UGCCACAGCGAUAUCACCCUGCAGUCCAAGACCGGUUAGUCACUGAAGCUAAGCAGGGCUGAGCCUGGUCAGUACCUGGAUGAGAGACCACAUGGGAAAACUAGAUUGCUGUUGCAA
ensembl:rRNA 5S_rRNA 5S ribosomal RNA